CAAUAGUCCAGCAUGGUUACAGGUGCCAAUAGUUUAGCAUGGCUACAGGUGCCAAUAGUUUAGCAUGGCUACAGGUGCCAAUAGUUUAGCAUGGUUACAGAUGCCAAUAGUUAAGAAUGGUUACAGAUGCCAAUAGUUUAGCAUGGUUACAGAUGCCAAUAGUUUAGCAUGGUUACAGGUGCCAAUAGUUUAGCAUGGCUACAGGUGCCAAUAGUUUAGCAUGGUUAC
rnacentral:lncRNA from 1 species